GCAAACUUGGUCAUUUAGAGGAAGUAAAAGUCGUAACAAGGUUUCCGUAGGUGAACCUGCGGAAGGAUCAUUCAUAAUAAGUGUUUUAUGGCACUUUUUAAAUCCAUAUCCACCUUGUGUGCAAUGUCAGUCGAUCUUCUUCAUGGAGGUCGGCCAAACAUCAACCUUAUCUUUUAACUCUUUGUCUGAAAAAUAUUAUGAAUAAACAAUUCAAAAUACAACUUUCAACAACGGAUCUCUUGGCUCUCGCAUCGAUGAAGAACGCAGC
rnacentral:misc_RNA from 1 species